rnacentral:lncRNA from 1 species
GUGCCUCGUCGUACACUGGAUGCACUCCAUAGAUGGCAGGAAAUGGCCUACUGUGGAUUUGUGGGAAAGAAGGAAAGGCCAGUGAGCAGGCAUUAACGGAGCCAAUGGACCAUAAAAAUGCCCCUGGUCCAUGCGGCGGUGUAGCAAGGGCUGCCCAGCACACCAGAGAGUAGCACCUUAGACCAUGCCACUCAGCUACAGGUAUGUUCCGAUUCUGGUGUGGAAGUUGCGUGCAUUCAUCUCUUCUUCACCUUGGUGCAGAAAUGACUUUGCCAUGCCAGGGACGAACACCUUACACUACACUACUCAGCAACAGGGCCAUACGGUGCAGAGAGGACCUGCCGACGCCGGGGAUUGUCACCUUACAGUAUGCCACACAAUUACAGAGCCAUGAAAAGACAGCUGCAAGAUGACACAAAGCAAGAUGGUUUCCCAAUGCGUAAAGAUUGAACACCAACCUCCGAGAUGAAUCAGAAGAAGCGCCUGUAUGGAUAGGACACGAGUGUAGUAAUAAAACCAUAUUGCCAAUAUAAA